CGAACGCGACGAAGACGAAGAAGAAGACGGGGACGACGACGAGCCACUGGCCAAGGCGGAUGAGGGCGGGACCUCAGCGGUCAGCAAGGUCGUGCGGGCCGUGGACUUCACGAUGGCGGUUUCAGGCCCACUCCAUUCGCAAGAUUAGCACGCCCGGGGGGCGUAGAAAGAGGAGGAGGAGGAGGGGCUCUGAGCCUGUCUGAGCAGUAGGAGUCCGUUUCAAUCAGCUACACUCACUCACUCAAAAAAGUCAGACAGAGGUUCGGACGGACCAAAGAACAGACUGGACGAGCCACACGAGUGACGACACGACUCGGCUUCAUCCAUCCAGAGACCCUGUCCACAACGAAAGAGACAGAGCACAGCCAGCACUCCACAGUCCAGGGAGGACGGAGAACGAGGCUGUUUCUUGGGUUGGCCGGCCAGCGUGUGACCAGGGAAACCAGGAAAGAAGGAAGGUAGGCCUAUGGCAACAGCUGGCUGGGCAUAGCCAAACACAGGGUGUCCACAGAGGCAGGUGACCCAAAAGGAUCAAUCCAUAGGAGUUGUGCUUCGGAUAUCGGAAUACAGAUCACGUUCAGGGGUGAAUUACCAGAACUAGGAAAAAAGGUUAAGUGUUUCCACCACAUGGAUGAAAAUUGCAACUUGAGCCCGAUCAUAACCCUGUCAAUAUUUCAUUCCCUAAAAGUGCAAUCGGACAACUUGCUCAAACCCGUUUUAUGAAGCAUAAUAGUGGAGAGCAGUUGCUUGGUAAGGGGUUGUGUUAGGGGCUUUUACUCAGAAAUUGGACAUACUGUCAAUGACUCACAUUUGUACCAUAGUUGUCCAAGUUAUCUCGAUUGUAAAUAAAGCAUUUUGACGUUUUUUACCCCAAACAACUGCUGAGACAAAAACUUGCAAUAGCACCCUCAAUCAAUAUAUUUAUGUAGUUAUGUAUGAAAACCUUGGACGCACUUAUCAAAAUUAUGUCUUGUGUGAUUGCCAUGACAUUGCUAUGUUUUCAUAAGUAUGUCAAAAAUGACUAGCUCUUUUUGGAAAUUUCACAUUUUAUUACUUUCAUUGUGAUUUCUUUACCUUUUUUCCGAGCUCUCUUGAUGGCUUAUAUUUAUGUUCCUUGCAUAAAUUUGAUCGGCUUAUGGGUAAGAUCCGUCAUGAAAAGAAAAAAGUAUAUCCAUUAUAUUGGUUAGUGUAAACUUGAUCCAUAAACUCCUGAAAUAUAAGAUAGCACGAAAUUUUCAACAUAAAGACCGAACUCAAUCUAAUAUUCCAAGGUGUCGCUCUCUCAUUUCUCAACUGUGAAUGCCCACCCUUUCAUAAUUUCUUCGAAUAUUUUGGCUUUGUGAAAGCUUUUAAAUAACAACUUGAUCCAGAAGCAGGAAGUAAUCGCCGCGUGACUCGCCGAUGUUUCAAUUGAGUUGCCUAAUUCCCCAUGACAUUUUGUCAUUCUUUCAACGUAUACCAGCUUAACUUAGUAGCCAGCACUGUUUGCUUCCAAUGCUUGAAAAGGCAAGGCUCAAUUCUCUGUUGUUAUGCACCUAUGAACAAGUACGACUUUAGCCACCCUCUCGGUCCAAGAAAGAAUGUGUAUUCCAAAAUGAGACCCACAAACGGAGCAAACACGAACAAAACGCAGACCUUUUCGUCAGUGUUGCCGUAAUCCACCUCAUAGGCCUAGGCGUAAAUGAAUAUCACGUUUCGUGUCACUCGGAUAAAUUAACAAUUUCGCGGGUCUAUCUUCUCAAUUGUCCUUGGGAGUGCUUGAUAACCAUGAUUUUCAAUGCUUCAUAUGGAUUUUUUUGAGUUUUUCUAACCGCUACAGGAAAUUUAAUCCCCAGUACUAUUAAAAUGAAAGGUUAUAAUUCGUCUAUUUGUUACCGUUCAAUCUUUAUAUGAUAUUUGGUCUACCAACGAAUUUGAGUUGGCAGACCGGGCCAGUCCUUGAAAGUAGGGUUGAUGUGGUAUGCUAUCUAAAAAUUUGUCCAAGUCUGACUUGAAAGAUGCUACCGGAUCAACAAGGCCUACGUAUUCCCUACGAAUAUGAAAGAGAAGCAAAUUAAACAAUGAAGGAGCCCGAGAAAGAAGAGAAGUGGACUUCAUUGUUUUAACUAGCCCGGAUUCUCGAGGACUUGAAGGUGCUCUCAAAACGCACGCUUAGCCUCUACGGUCACUAGAAUUGACCCUAAAUCCUGGGUUGGGACAAAGCUCAUGGAUGCUUUUGAAGACGUACAGUAUCAGAUACCUUUCGUACCUUCUCUGAACACUGUACAGUCCCAACUUUUUUACUCUCUCCCAAUACGAGAGCUCUCUCAUUCCUGUGAUGUUCCAAGUGAAACAUCUUUGGACUAGCUCAACCUUUUGCGAACCUGCCUAACUUAUUGGAGCUCAAAUGUGUAAAGCAUAUUGAAGAUGUGGCUGAACAAUCGACUUGUAUAGAUUUAGCAUGUUAGAGAAGAAACUAAAAAGAUGGUGUACUAGAUAGUUCUUUAUUUCGAUUAACUGACAAAUAUCUGACGAUAGAAGUUUGGAUCUUCCACGCAAAUCUUGGGAAAUGAUUCUUUUGUCAAGGGAGGGUUCGUAAAGUAGGGAAAUGAUUGAACUUAUCAGAGUAAUAGGAGGUAAACGCGACUUUGACACGUGUAGUUGAGAACUAAAGUAAGGUGGAAUAACAAUGGUGACUCAACACGUUCAAGUUUGUGCAGAGUGAUGGAAAAAUACCAGUAGAAGGUUCAAAUGAAUGGAAACUCUGAAGUCAUGAGGAAGUGUUUUUUAUGCGUUUUUUCAAGGAUUUUUAAGUUUUUUUUGGGAGAUUUUUCAAGGUUUUUUUUCUUGUCGUCACGGCACUCGUUCAAUCAUGGUCAAAUUAUCAGCAAAGGGUGUUGUUACAUGCAUCUAAAUUUUGAAUCAAAUUUUAGGACAAAUUCUCAUCAAUCUUUUACUCCGUUCAAGGGUGUGGGGUUCAGAUGUUAUAGACGAAGCAGACCUGAAAAGAGAAAGACCAAAUCCAGAUUGACUACACAAUAUGUAACAAAGUAAAGUACUACUUGAGUAAUUACUUGAACCAAACUUACCAUGUUAUCAUUCAUCAUGGGAGGAAGCAACUCAUGCCCUGGAGUCAAUGGUUGGAACCCAAGAAACAAGAAGUUCUUGAUCAUACUCUUAGCCACGUUUCCACCGCUCAAGCAGAUGAUGACGUCACUGCAUUUGAGGGUUUCCUCGGCGUACUCCAACAUGGACACGAAUGCCUCCUUGGAGCCUUCGCUCAGCUGUUGAGCGGUCAUAUUCACGUACAAGCGGCCUUGCCACAAGAUGGCAUCCCACGGAGGGAUGGUCUUGGGCCCGGCACACGGCGAACACGUGAUUGAAGAAGAUGAUGGGUAGAACCUCAAGCGCAGGGUUGGAUGGAUGUUGGCCGUAGGCGAAGAAGGGUCGUCGUCGCCGUUGGCGGUGACGAUCUUCCCGAUUCCGGCUUCCAACAAUUGGCUCGCAGGGUCAGAGGGAUUCGCAUAUUCCCCCACUCCAGUGCCCUGGAAUAUCAAUAAGUAAUCAAUGGAACAAAUUUGAUGCACAAGAAAAAAUAAUAAUCCAAAUCUGAUGUUAGCGAACGAAGGAUCUUUCGUCUACAAUAAUGGCUCGGAUCAAACACGCACCUCUGGGACUUCCCAACUGGAGUGGGCAACAUCAGGAGCACGGUGUGGGCUCCUCCCCCAGCGUAACGGAGAUGGUGGCGUCGAUGCCACCCACCCUCUUGCAGUUCCCCAUGUUCAGGAGAUUAGCACUCAUAUCACUAUUUGAUAUCAUUAACGAUUGUUUAUUGCGUUUAAGCAUCUUCUCGCACUUUUUGGUCGUAUGAUCGUCGUCGAAUGCAAACACGGGAAGAGAACAAACCGAAAUUGGGUUUGGAUCCAAUGGAAUGUCUGAAAGAGAUCAACGCAUGUCAAAGUAUUCCACCCGCAAAUGACUCUCCCUACAAAUAAGGCCUCGUUAUCCAUUACAUUUCACUCUCUCCUUACAUAAAAUGAUUCGACAACUAAAAGAAAAACGCCCAGGCUCGGCUACAACGCAUACUUGCAUAACCUGAGGUUGGAGAGAGCCAAGAUCAAAAAGCACAUUGAAUAAACAUAGAACCACUCUACCUUUCAGCCUCAUAUUUGGAAACCGGUUAAGGUUGACAAGCCCCAGCCCCAACGAUAUCGAACGUGUAUUCAGCUCGAAGUCGAGUAUCCAACUAAUACGAAAUCAAACCGACCGAACACAAGACCCCCUGGGGCUUGUCGAAAUUUGUGAGCUUUCUCAAACCGCCAAAAAACAAAAAGUUUCAUCGAAGAACCUAAGCAAAAAAGAUCGACGUAAUUGGAGGAAACGAAGUUUUGCCAAAUGCCAUGCCUGGAUACAAUUGCAACGAUAACCUACUCGAGAAAUCAAGAUCGUGUUCAUGUAAACUCUUCUAACUAACUCCCUUGGUUACAUCAAGGUUUCCUAACGUCGAGUUUCUUGGCACAGUUUCAGUUCGUAGUCGAGCCAGGUCAAUAUCUUUCAGUUCAAACAAAAACGUAUGCCAUUCUGAGGCGGGAACAAAAACAAGAGACAUUUUAUGACACACAAGAAGAACGUUUAACCGAUCUCACACGUGAGCAACUUCUACUCUCGGGUUGUCUUAUCAAGUCGACGACGACUUUUUGCGGCCUAACCGGACGAUCAUUUGACCCAGUCUAUCUCUUUGGCCCACAAUGUACUACAGCAAGUCAGAUUUCAACCGGGAAACUACGCAGUUCCAUCCAGCAUCCAACCUUUCCUCGAUGGAAGGCUCGAAAUGAUUCCACAGAGAACUGGCUUCCGACCCAUCUUGUUAAGGUAACACAACUAUGAUGUAAUAUAACGUAACCAUCUAGUUUACAUAACAAAAAAAAAUGAUCCUCCGAUAUCUGAUGUUCAGACAUCUUUAAGAUGCACGAGGGCCAAAAUGCAAAAUGUCUUCGAAAUCGUCAUCCGAAAGGAAUUCGACGAUGGCCCUAACAUCGCUCACAAGCCAACUCACGUUCUCCAUCUCAUUCAUCCAAUGCACAAACAAGACAAGACACCCAAACUGGGCCUAGGCCGUCACCCAAUUCAUUUUUGAGGAAAGGUUAAGAGUUCGGGGCGGAAAUCGACCAGUCCUCAAAACGACUUCCGACCGCGAGGCUGAGGCUCUUGACCACCACCUAGGUUCUUUCGGCCUUCCUGGGCAUUAAACCUUUUUCAAGACCUAAGUAAACCUAACAUUGGUAGAGUACAUCAAGCCAAACGUUGAAGUCUAACCCUUCCACCUAGAUUCACUACUAUGAAUCCUACCAAUCGUGGUUAACCUCCUACUAGCUAUGUCAUGGACUCAUCUGGCAAGCCAUGGAUGAAUUAUCAUCAAAUGAAUUAAGUCGAUCUUCUUACCCUCUCACGAGACAAACAGCGUACUUUCACUCAAUAUGGCGACUGUGAAGUGUGUAGAAUUUGUGGCUCCUUCUCUAUGACAAUCGGUGUCUGUGUGUGUCUCUCGGAUCGUACGAGCCUGUUCGAGUCUAUUCGGCCUUGGCCGGCCCGAGAGCAUUGAAUGUCCAGGCCCAGACCGACGGUCGGUGAGGAGCAGGACGAGCAGAACGAAACGCGGGAUCAUGGGCUAGAGAGCACGACACGGAUCCCCAGGUUUGAGCCAGUACGGAUCGGGAGCGGGAGCAGAAGCUGGAGAAGGAAGACGUUCGAGAUUUCGGAGCAUGACGUCAAAACCCGAAUGAGGAGUGCGGACCUGCUAGUAGUGUUGCCAGGUCACCAUCGCCAUUGGAGGCCUAAUUCGAGCUCAAAAGUAGCUAUUGCGCGGUCACGAGAGGUUGAGCAUCGGUUUGGGCUUAGUUUUAGUUCAAGCGACUUGGCGUGUGUGUCUUCAAUCAUGACACACAUAAAUCGAGAUGAGAUGUCCUAGCCCAUAGAAGUGUUCCGUGCCGAUUGAGUUUCAAAUGUAGCCAUUUUUCUAAGUCUUGACCUUAAUAAAAAUGUUUUGGCAACGCUGA